rnacentral:rRNA from 1 species
CCGCACGCGCGCUACACUGACAGAGCCAGCGAGUUUUUUUUCCUUGGCCGGAAGGUCUGGGUAAUCUUGUGAAACUCUGUCGUGCUGGGGAUAGAGCAUUGCAAUUAUUGCUCUUCAACGAGGAAUUCCUAGUAAGCGUGAGUCAUCAGCUCGCGUUGAUUACGU